AUGACCGACAGCAUAGAGACUGUCACCUUUAUUUUGUAUCUAGAAAUAUGCAGAAAGCAACAGUACAAAGUUCUCCUGGAUGACCAAGAUGCCUUAGCCGUGACUUGGGCUGUUGACAGCAGAAAAGGCAAGCUGCUCCUUCACUUUUUGGGCUCCAGAAGUAAACUGGUGACGAAGGCGUGAGCUGGGAUGGAAGCUCCUCAACAUGGUGGAGACUGUCUCCAGCUGCUGCUGCUAGAAAUAGCUUGGGGUGAGUGUACUGGAUAGGUGCAUCUGGUGCUGCUCUGCCACAAAUAGCAAUCCCUUUUAUGUUUACCAGUGCACUCUUCUCAAAAGAAAACAGAAAAACACAAUUUUGUAAGAAAAAAAAAAGUCCAGUAAUACGUUAUGGUGGUAGGUUGUUUUUUUUUUUAUGUGCUUUUCCUCUGGUGAAUUUAAACCUUCAUUUUCUCUCUGCCGAACAAAAGUGGCAGGUCUAAGGAGUAUUAGGUAAUUGCGGUUGUCAGAUUGCACAUAGUGUUGGGAAAAUAUUAAUUGCUGUGUUUUUGCCCAAGGCUUUAUGCAGCAGCCCCUUCAUUUACCUGGGAGCAGGUCAUUUCCCUCCCGUUCCAGACUGUGUACUGUUGAGCAGCAUGAAAGGAUUCCUGUACGGCUGCAUUGUGUGUGUAGGCGGGCAUCUCAUUCAGUAAUAAUUUCUAAUUUAUACAGCCAUGAAAAUCUGCUGCUAUAAAUAAACAGUUCUGACUGACUUUGCAUGCUUACUCAAAACAAAAUGUGUGAGAGAGAGAAAGAGGCUGAAAGAAAAAUCUAGUGUAAAUGUCAUAAAGACCAGUGUUCCUCAGUGAAGCCCAUCACAGAAUCAUAGAAUGGCCUGGGUUGAAAAGGACCACAGUGAUCAUCUAGUUACAACCCCCCUGCUAUGUGCAGGGUCGCCAACCACCAGACCAGGUUGCCCAGAGCCCUUCUGAAAUCAAAGGGAAAAUGUUUGUGAUCAACAAUGUACAGUUUUUUCCAUAUGCAGCUUCAUGUGUGCAUGAGAGAAAAAGGAGCAAAGCAAAGCUGAGAUCCUGCUGUUUGUGUCUUUGAGGCGAGUAUUCCUGAUCUACCUCUCAAAGCACAUAACCCAGACCCAGCCUCUUCCUCCUCCAGGCAGCAGGCGGAACGUGGCUGAGAGCAGAGCCUUCCUUGAGUCCUCACUAAAGCAAGUAAUGAAUGCAAGCAAUCCUCCUCACGCUUCUGCAGUCCAGCAGGAAGGUCUUCAGCCUUAAAAGCCACAGCAGGAGCCCUUUAGAUCCUCUGGCUAGUGGGUGGGGAAGGAACAGUCCCAUUGUCAGGCCCCAGGCUUUGUAUUGAGCUUCCAACAUUUAAAAUGCUUGCAUUAGGUUAUCAGUUAAAAAAUAAACAAACAAACAAAAAAACCCAAAAUAGCCGUAUAAGGAGUAUCCUGAACUCUCUCCUCUUCCCUAACUCACUGCAUGGCUUUCCUCUGUCUGCCUCUCAGAAAUAUUUCCUCUGACCAGUGUCUUUUAGCUGAACCCUUUCCACUCUCUCCUUCAACAGAAAAACUGUGUCUAAUUUCCUAUAUUCCCCCAGCAAAGUUAGCUGGAGUGCAUUAUCUAGAUGGACUAUGAGCUGUUGAAUGUGCACAUGCAUCUCACUGCAUAUAGUCAGUUUGCAGCCUAGUUCUAGUGUGUAAACUACCCAGUCUAGAACUUAAUCAGGUGCUUAACACCUGAGAAAAACAAUUGUACGUACACAUAAUUUUUUAUUGCUCACAGGCAGCUUACAACGUGUUUCGUUUUUCUUAAGCUACAGCAGCACUAAAAAGAUGAGAACAAGACCCUGGUGAGCUGUGUGUGCAGUAACUCUGAGCUAUGGGUUUGGGCAGUGAAGGCAGAAGUAUUGCAGCUGGUUUCAAAUCCUCAUUGAAAUGCAACGCUAAUAACAGAGAUCUCUCCUGUUCGCAUUGACCAUGAAGGAGUGCUUACACCACUGCCAGUUUUGUCUUUUUAUUGGAGUUUACAAAGCACAUCUCCAGUGUUUUAGAUGUUAACAAGAUGUUGGGGCUAAUAACAGAAAUCAACUAUAUUGAGCGAGUUUAGUAAACAUGUGAAUGGGGUGUAAUUAUAUGGCAGGCAGCUUUAUGUUAAACAGUGCUUUAAAUUAACGUGCUUUCUGUCAAAGCAAUCAUACAGUCAGUAUAAUUAGGUUACUUUUGCUACAAGAUUAACUGAAACCAAGAAAAAGGAAAAAAAAGUUGCGUUCAGAUUUCAUGUUAAUGUGGAAGGGGGAGGGAGGAUAUU
ensembl:lncRNA